rnacentral:tRNA from 1 species
GCGGGCGUAGUUCAGUGGUAGAACGUCAGCUUCCCAAGCUGGCCCGAUAUAGCCCGCGGAUGCGAAUUUCCCCUGCA